UACAGAGGGGGCAAGCGUUGUUCGGAAUUACUGGGCGUAAAGGGCGCGUAGGCGGCCCGCUAAGUCGAACGUGAAAUCCCCGAGCUCAACUCGGGAACUGCGUCCGAUACUGGUGGGCUUGAAUCCGGGAGAGGGAUGCGGAAUUCCAGGUGUAGCGGUGAAAUGCGUAGAGAUCGGGCGGAACACCAGCGGCGAAGGCGGCAUCCUGGCCCGUACCUGACGCUGAGGCGCGAGAGCGUGGGGAGCAAACCGG
rnacentral:rRNA from 1 species